rnacentral:rRNA from 1 species
AGUGAACGCUGGCGGCAUGCCUAACACAUGCAAGUCGAACGGCAACACAGUAAGAGCUUGCUCUUACCGGUGGCGAGUGGCGGACGGGUGACGAAUACAUCGGAAUCUACUUUUUCGUGGGGGAUAACGUAAGGAAACUUACGCUAAUACCGCAUACGACCUACGGGUGAAAGCAGUGGAUCUUCGGACCUUGCGCGAUUGAAUGAGCCGAUGUCGGAUUAGCUAGUUGGCGGGGUAAAGGCCCACCAAGGCGACGAUACGUAGCUGGUCUGAGAGGAUGGUCCGCCACACUGGAACUGAGACACGGUCCAGACUCCUACGGGAGGCCGCAGUGGGGAAUAUUGGACAAUGGGCGCAAGCCUGAUCCAGCCAUACCGCGUGGGUGAAGAAGGCCUUCGGGUUGUAAAGCCCUUUUGUUGGGAAAGAAAAGCAGCAGGUUAAUACCCCGCUGUUCUGACGGUACCCAAAGAAUAAGCCCCGGCUAACUUCGUG